CUUGAAUGGUGGUGGUGAUAUCACCGAUGGUGGUGGUCAUCUUGGUGGGGGCGAUGGUUGAGGAGGUGAGAGUACCGACAAAUGGAAGUGGAGGAGACGAAGGCGAUAAUACUGGUGGUGAUGAAGAUGACGGAGGUGGAUAUGGCAGCGGUGAGACGGAGGAGGCACUCAGAGUACAUGCGGAGGAUAUAGAGAUGAUGGUCGUGGAGAUGGUGGUGUAUGUGACAGAGGAGGUGAGAACACCGGUUAAGGAGGAGACGGGGGUGAAGGAGAUGAUGACUAACAACAAGCAUAUUAGUGCCUGUUUGGUAACCAUUAUUUGAUUUCAAACACUAAAAUUGGCCCAGUUACAUUGUUUGGAUUCAAAAAAAAUUGAAUACCAGAAAUUGGCCCAAAUCCAUUAACCACUUAAACCCAUAAUAGCCUCAGAAUUCUAAAUCCCUAAAUAUACCCUAUCAUUUACAAUUCCCACUUCCGCUUCCGCCUUUUUUGACCCCGAUCUCUCUCCCACUUCCGCUUCCGCCGUUUUCGACCCCAAUCUCUCUCUCUCUCCCCCACUUCAGCUCUGAGUUGCUCUCUCUCCAGUUCCAUCAAAACCCUAGCUCCUAGAUCCAACCGGCGACAACUCUUCGCUCUCUCUCAGUUCCAUCAAAACCCUAGCUCCUAGAUCCAACCGGCGACAACUCUUCGCUCUCUCUCAGUUCCAUCAAAACCCUAGCUCCUAGAUCCAACCGGCGACAACUCUUCGCUCUCUCUCAGUUCCAUCAAAACCCUAGCUCCUAGAUCCAACCGGCGACGACGAUCCAAAUGACGACGGCUCACAAGCACUAAUCUCACCUUGGACGACGACGGCAAUACAACGGUGAUUCAAGAACUCACAAAGUAAGACUUUCUGAACCGAGAGGAGAAAACUACAAAAGAAAUACAAAGUGAAAGUGUAUAAGCAUUAAAAAGAAACUCUCAUUUGAAUCAGAUGUAAAAGUCUUAAAGAAACUAGUGCGGGAGCAACUUAAGCAUGACACUGUGUAACGGCGAAAUAUUAACUUUUGUUGGUUUGUACUUUUUGGAUAUUUUGGAUCUCUAGUUUGUUGAAUUGUUAUAUGCAAUAUUUUAAGUUUUUACU